UAGAUCAGAUGACAAUUACUGUUUUUACCACAAGUGAAUUGAAGAAUGACACAAUGCUCCCAUCUAACAUUUUAUCAGAUCUGCUGAUUAAAGUAAAAGAUUGCAGGGAAAUAAACCAAGGACCACUUACUGUAAUUUGCAGUGACGGUUGCAGUAAAAGCGGUCUGUUUGUCGCACUUGAACUUAUCUUGGAAAAAUUGGAGAUAGACGAUGAAAUUGAUGUUUUUCAAGUGAUAAGAACAAUGCAACUUAGGCGUCCCGAAUUUUUCAAUGAAUUGGAUCAGUAUGAAUAUUGUUACAAAUGUAUCAAGGACCAUUUAGAAAAUAGCUCGUUGUAUGCAAAUCUUUAGUGAUGCCAGACUUUGAGUUUUCAUCAACAGAAUACAAACUAGGCACAUAUCUGUUCUACUUACUGUGCAGAAAUAUAAUUUUAUAGAAAACAAAAAUAACAAACAAAUAACAACGAAAAUGGCAAUAAGAUUGUUUUAUUGUACGAAUAAAACUGAUAUGCUUUUCAUAAAUAGGUCAUACACCAUGGCAAAAGAUCCAUGUAUUUGAUAUAUAGAUAUAAGUCUUUAUUGAUAUGAGAACCGAUUGUAGAUAAUGAUAGAUUUAUUUUAUUAAUGAAGUUCAGCAGUAUAUCUAGUCACUUGUAGCGUUUGUAUAACGCUAACCGAAGAUAAGAUACCUUGUAACCUGAACAAUUUAAUACAUUAUAAUCGAAACAGUAUGUAAUUUUAUCAUGGAUACUGGUUUCAAUGUGCAUAAAAACCGGUUAAAAUAUUGCUUAUCUAUUUAAAAUGUUCUCAAUGUUCUAAAUGUAUAUGGUUUUGAUUUGCAGGAGUAUAUUUUUACUAUAAAUUUGAUUUUAUGUUUGAUAUAUGUUAUAUUUAGCUGUUCUUAUUUGUAUUGAGUAAUUUGAAUAUCUGCAAAAACCACUAAUUCAUAGCCGAAUUGCUUUAAACAGUAUAUGUUGUAGCUAUAUUUUAUGAAUUUUAAAUAAAGUGGCUACCAUUUAUCAUGUAAAAACUCUACCUUAUACUGGCUUGUACCGAAAAAUUGAACAUAUCAGUUACAGUUACUGCGUACUGGUUACCGGAAGUUAUGUAGUACGAAAACAGUUUCUUCUCCUCUAAACAACAGGCAAACUGUACCCUCCUAUUUCAAUUUAAUAAAUUAUUUUUAAUUUUCAACAGAUAUUUUCAUCGAAGGUACUUCAGUGACCCAAUUCCUUAAGCUUUCAUCUAAUUCCAAAAUUACCCAAUUAAUUUAUGUUACUUAUUUAUAAUUUACAGUUAUGCGUAGGAUCUAUUUCGUUUAAAAUAUAUACUACUUUGCUGUACAAUCUUUCUA